rnacentral:rRNA from 1 species
UACAGGGGGUGCAAACGUUGCUCGGAAUUAUUGGGCGUAAAGCGCGCGUAGGCGGCUACUUAAGUCGGAUGUGAAAGCCCCUGGCUCAACUGGGGAAGUGCACCCGAAACUGAGUAGCUUGAGUGCAAAAGAGGGCCGCGGAAUUCCCGGUGUAGAGGUGAAAUUCGUAGAUAUCAGGAGGAACACCGGCGGCGAAGGCGGCUUCCUGGCCCAUUACUGACGUUCAGGUACGAAAGCGUGGGGAGCAAACAGG